rnacentral:rRNA from 1 species
CAGUAGCCGCGGUAAUACGGAGGGAGCUAGCGUUGUUCGGAAUCACUGGGCGUAAAGCGCACGUAGGCGGCUAUUCAAGUCAGGGGUGAAAGCCCGGGGCUCAACCCCGGAACUGCCUUUGAAACUAGAUAGCUUGAAUCUUGGAGAGGCGAGUGGAAUUCCGAGUGUAGAGGUGAAAUUCGUAGAUAUUCGGAAGAACACCAGUGGCGAAGGCGACUCGCCGGACAAGUAUUGACGCUGAGGUGCGAAAGCGUGGGGAGCAAACAGGAUUAGAUACCCCAGUAGUCCCUGUCUCUUAUAC